GGACACCUCUCUUUCAAGGAGGCGACGGGGAUUCAAAUUCCCCUGAGGGUAUCAACAAAUUCCUGUUAACCGCGAGCUGCGCCGCGCCCAUCCACGGAAUCGUUGUUUUACAUACAUACGUUAUUGCCCAUUGACAGCGGCCUAGCGCGGCCGAGUGUCCCUGUUACCAAAGUAUCACCGGGUCGGUGCUCGAGCGGUUAAUGGGGACGGAUUGUAAAUCCGCUGGCAAUGCCUACGCUGGUUCGAAUCCAGCCCGACCCAAAACGAACCUCCCCCUGAAUAUCUAAUACCAGUAUCAGACGUGAGUAGGGUCUACGCCGCGCCAGCCAUGAAGCAACCCCGCCUCGAUACCGCGCCGUGUACGGCGCGGUAUCGAGGCGGGCUGAAUGACUACAAUUUUCAUAAUGAAUGACGGAUAAAGGGCCGCCAAAUUCGCGCACGUCUGGCAAUAGAUGUAGUUGUUUCUACCUAUACGAAUAUCCAUAGAGUUACGUAUAAGCACUCAAUGACAUCGGAAGUAAUAAUCGUAGUAAUCGCAGUAAUAGUAGUAUACGGGUUUGGCACAAAGACUUCAUACUUAUUGGUUUCACAAGUAAACUG
rnacentral:lncRNA from 1 species